AAAUUUUUCCCUUUACUUUUUACUUUCUACUCUCCCUUCUUUCUUCGUCGCUUAUAAAAGUUACUUGCUCGCUCGCUCGCGUGGCUCGCUAUCGUCCUUUUCGCUGGUGUUAGUGGGGUUGAUUCGAAGGGGUUCGACUUUGAACAGUGGUUUUUUGCAAAUUCGUGGCUGUGGUGCGAUUCGAUGUUCACGCGGUAUUUAUUAUUGGUGAAGGACGAAGAGGAGGAGGAGAAGAAGCUACUCGUCGAGCCGGGACGAUUUGGAAUAUUCGAAGAAGACGAUCUUCGUGGGAGAGAGCGCAGCGAAGACAAACACCCAUACGCAAGAAUAACAUCUUUCGCGCACCGCUAAUCACAACACUUGGAAAUAGGCUGUAACGCGGAGGAACGAGAUGGAAAAACAUGACAGCCUCCGCUGUAAAAAUGACGCUCUCUGCCUCCUGGGGGGAGGGUUAAUCAAGUGGCCGGCCGUUGCUUUCGCUCGAAACAUUCCAACGCGUGUCGUAAAACGAUGCAAUUUCGUUCAACUUUGCAUUCGUAUUUUUAUUAUUUUUAUUAAUUCUAUUAAUCUUAAUCGUAUUUCUAGUGGAAUGGAACUGUUGGAAGAGGGAAUUUUUUAUAAUAAAGAUGAAACCAUCGUGUCAGUCUUGUUCAUGUACAUUUUAUUUUAUUAAAGUCUCAAGAAUAUAUGUAUGUAUGUAUGUAUAUAUAUAUAUAUAUACAUAUAGUUACUUGUUAAAACGAAUUGUUCGAAAAGACUUCCGUUUCUUCAACCUUCAUUCUCUCUAAUUCACGUAACUUAAUAUAUAUAUAUAUAUAUUUAUACCUGUGACGACAAUUCCGCCAUCGGUGAAACUAAAAAAAAAAAAAGAAGAAAAUGGUAAAACGCUUUUACACAGUCUACUCUUAAAAACUUACUCUUAAAACUUAACGGUUCGAGGGACAUUAUCAGGGUGAAAAGGGCACUUUUCAAUUUUUCAUUUCGAAAUUACUUCCGAUCCGGGUUUGUUGUGAAGGAAAAAAAAAAAGA